AUGACUAAUUAUACAAAAGUUAACCACUAUUUUUUUUUCAGAUGGCCGAAACAAGUGGCUACACGACGGGGGGGAUGUCGCAGGACUCCACCCUCAUCCUGUCCAGAACUGAGGAGGCCCCCGCUCUCCAGCUGCGUCCCCAGCUGGCUCCCCAGCUGGCUCCGCAGCCCCCUCCUCAGCCUGCUCCCCCUCAACUACCCCCGGCUGAGGAGGGGGACGAGGAGGGAUAUUUGGGAGAUGAUGAGGGGGAUGAUUGAAUUAUUUUUUUAUGUUUGUUUUUGUAUAUAGUUGUGUGGUUUCGUUUAAAUAAUAAUAAAAUCGUUUUUAUUAUAAAAUUGGUGUGGAAGGUUUUCUCUUAAAUAAGGGUUAGUGUUAAGAUGGGAUAGCCACUCGGGUUAAGGUUAGGGAAUAAGGCUAAAGGUUAAGGUAAGGAUUUAGAUAAGUGGUAGGGAUAGCUACUCGGGUUAAGGUUAGGGAAUAAGGCUAAAGGUUAAGGUUAGGAUUUAGAUCAGUGGUAGGGAUAGCCACUCGGGUUAGGGUUAGGGUUAGGGUUAGGGUUAGGGUUAGGGUUAGGGUUAGGGUUAGGGUUAGGGUUAGGGUUAGGGUUAGGGUUAGGGUUAGGGUUAGGGUUAGGGUUAGGGUUAGGGUUAGGGUUAGGGUUAGGGUUAGGGUUAGGGUUAGGGUUAGGGUUAGGGUUAGGGUUAGGGUUAGGGUUAGGGUUAGGGUUAGGGUUAGGGUUAGGGUUAGGGUUAGGGUUAGGGUUAAGGUUUGAGGCCAAUUUAACAUGGAGUUUAAUACCCGAUUUGGAAAGUCAAGAUUCAGCUCGACUGACCCCCCUCCAAUUUGGACUUUUUGACAGAGUGUCACCAUUGAAGUAGUUUAAAGUCGGACCUUCGAAGUCUGAAGUUGGACCCUGGAUUUGGAUGUUGAAGUUGGAUGCUCGAAUUUGGAUGCUGAAUUUGGAUGUUGGAAAUUUGUACUCCCGUACUAAAGGGCGGCAGCACUGAGUCCAAAAAAUGUACGUCUGGAUUUGGAAGUGUAAUUCGAAAAACCUCUAGGGGCAGUAGUGCUCCAUGGUAAAACUAAACAUCAGUAAUUUGGAAGUUGAAAAUGUAUUCAAACACUAUGUCCACCGACAGCAAUCGGUUCAUGUCUACGAUUUGGAAGUUGGAAGUAGGUACAUUUCCUGAAGUUGGAAGUUGGAAGUAGGUUAAAAAUCAAUGUAUAAUCUAAGUCCACCAACAGCAAUUGGCUGAUGUCUACAAUUUGGAAGUUGGAAGUAGGUAAAUGUCCUGAAGUUGGAAGUUGGUUAAAAAUCAAUGUAUAGUCUAAGUUUUGUCAGAAUUUUUGUCAGAGUGUCACUAUUGAAUAUAUGUCAAUUUGGAAGCUGGAAGUAGGUAAAUGUCCUGAAGUUGGAAGUUUUGUCAGAAUUUUUGUCAGAGUGUCACCAUUGAACAUAUGUAGAUUUGGAAGCUGGAAGUAGGUAAAUGUCCUGAAGUUGGAAGUUGGAAGUAGGUUAAAAAUCAAUGUAUAAUCUAAGUCCACCAACAGCAAUUGGCUGAUGUCUACAAUUUGGAAGUUGGAAGUAGGUAAAUGUCCUGAAGUUGGAAGUUGGUUAAAAAUCAAUGUAUAGUCUAAGUUUUGUCUGAAUUUUUGUCAGAGUGUCACCAUUGAAUAUAUGUCAAUUUGGAAGCUGGAAGUAGGUAAAUGUCCUGAAGUUGCAAGUUUUGUCAGAAUUUUUGUCAGAGUGUCACCAUUGAACAUAUGUAGAUUUGGAAGUUGGAAGUUGGAAUUUGUCAGUGUCACCAUUGAACAUGUGUAGAUUUGGAAGUUGGAAUUUGGAAGUGUGACCAUUGAACAUGUGUGGAUUUGGAAGUUGGAAGUUGGAAUUUGUCAGUGUCACCUUUGAACAUAUGUAGAUUUGGAAGUUGGAAUUUGGAAGUGUGACCAUUGAACAAGUGUGGAUUUGGAAGUUGGAAUUUGUCAGUGUCACCAUUGAACAUGUGUAGAUUUGGAAUCUUCCCCAUUGACAAUAAAUGUAGAGGCGGUUGUUGCACUUACUUUGUUUGGUGAAGUUGUCUGUUAGUCUAUCGGGUAGUCUGUGUUGGCUCCAAGCUCUAACAUGAAUGAAAAAAUAGAUGAAUAGCUUUGUUAUUACAGUAUACAUUCCCACUAUGUACUUUUCUGUUCUAAUUCACUAUUCUGUCUGUUCCAGCGUGUUGCGGGGGUGCUGGACUGGAUGCCUGGACUCUCCUCAUGGAUAUCCGGCCAGAUCCCAUUCACAGUUUUAUUAUAAUGUGCAGCUAUUUACCUGUGUGUCAAUUGUGGCACCCAUUGCACUCCUGACCAUCCCUGGUAGUAUUGACCCAUCUUAAUUAUUAUUAUUAUUUAUAGUGCAUUGGUCUUUUCUAUUUUCUUUCUGUACACAGUAUUUGUGUAUCCGUUUUAUAUUUGUCUAAAUUAGUCAUGCAUGUUCGUGUUUUUGUUAUUUGUUCCUUUUAUUCCUGGUGGGGCCUCUUGGACCAGAUCAAUAUUGUAAAUAAGAAACUGUUCUUAAUGUUUAUUAAGGUUAAAUAAAUAAAAAGUAAAAGACUGCUCUCUCAG
ensembl:lncRNA